rnacentral:rRNA from 1 species
UACGAAGGGGACUAGCGUUGUUCGGAAUUACUGGGCGUAAAGCGCGCGUAGGCGGAUCGCUAAGUCAGGGGUGAAAUCCCAGGGCUCAACCCUGGAACUGCCUUUGAUACUGACGAUCUGGAGAUCGGGAGAGGUGAGUGGAAUUCCGAGUGUAGAGGUGAAAUUCGUAGAUAUUCGGAGGAACACCAGAAGCGAAGGCGGCUCACUGGCCCGAUACUGACGCUCAUGCACGAAAGCGUGGGGAGCAAACAGG